GGCGUCGUAGCCAAGUGGUAAGGCACGGGUCUGCAACACCCUUACGCGCCGGUUCAAAUCCGGCCGACGCCU
rfam:Eubacterium plexicaudatum ASF492 genomic scaffold acLZb-supercont1.2, whole genome shotgun sequence.